rnacentral:rRNA from 1 species
ACACAUGCAAGUCGAGGGGCAGCAUCAUCAAAGCUUGCUUUGAUGGAUGGCGACCGGCGCACGGGUGAGUAACACGUAUCCAACCUGCCGACAACACUGGGAUAGCCUUUCGAAAGAAAGAUUAAUACCGGAUGGUAUAGUUUUCCCGCAUGGGAUGAUUAUUAAAGAAUUUCGGUUGUCGAUGGGGAUGCGUUCCAUUAGGCAGUUGGCGGGGUAACGGCCCACCAAACCUACGAUGGAUAGGGGUUCUGAGAGGAAGGUCCCCCACAUUGGAACUGAGACACGGUCCAAACUCCUACGGGAGGCAGCAGUGAGGAAUAUUGGUCAAUGGACGAGAGUCUGAACCAGCCAAGUAGCGUGAAGGAUGACUGCCCUAUGGGUUGUAAACUUCUUUUAUACGGGAAUAAAGUGAGCCACGUGUGGCUUUUUGUAUGUACCGUAUGAAUAAGGAUCGGCUAACUCCGUGCCAGCAGCCGCGGUAAUACGGAGGAUCCGAGCGUUAUCCGGAUUUAUUGGGUUUAAAGGGAGCGUAGGCGGGUUGUUAAGUCAGUUGUGAAAGUUUGCGGCUCAACCGUAAAAUUGCAGUUGAUACUGGCGACCUUGAGUGCAACAGAGGUAGGCGGAAUUCGUGGUGUAGCGGUGAAAUGCUUAGAUAUCACGAAGAACUCCGAUUGCGAAGGCAGCUUACUGGAUUGUAACUGACGCUGAUGCUCGAAAGUGUGGGUAUCAAACAGGAUUAGAUACCCUGGUAGUCCACACAGUAAACGAUGAAUACUC